AUACGUAGGGGGCAAGCGUUAUCCGGAAUCACUGGGCGUAAAGGGUGCGUAGGUGGCUUAUCAAGCCAGGGGUGAAAGGCAUUGGCUCAACCAAUGUAAGCCUUUGGAACUGAUAGGCUUGAGUGCAGGAGAGGUAAGUGGAAUUCCUAGUGUAGAGGUGAAAUUCGUAGAUAUUAGGAGGAACACCAGUGGCGAAGGCGACUUACUGGACUGUAACUGACGCUCAUGCACGAAAGCGUGGGGAUC
rnacentral:rRNA from 1 species